CCUACGGGUGGCUGCAGUGAGGAAUAUUGGUCAAUGGACGGAAGUCUGAACCAGCCAUGCCGCGUGCAGGAAGACGGCCCUAUGAGUUGUAAACUGCUUUUGUACAAGGGUAAACCUGAAUACGUGUAUUCUGCUGAAAGUACUUUACGAAUAAGGAUCGGCUAACUCCGUGCCAGCAGCCGCGGUAAUCCGGAGGAUCCAAGCGUUAUCCGGAUUUAUUGGGUUUAAAGGGUGCGUCGGCGGGUUGAUAAGUUUGAGGUGAAAUGUCCGAGCUUAACUCGGGAACUGCCUAUAAUACUGUUGAGCUAGAGAGUAGAUGCGGUAGGCGGAAUGUAUGGUGUAGCGGUGAAAUGCUUAGAGAUCAUACAGAACACCGAUUGCGAAGGCAGCUUACCAAGCUAUAUCUGACGUUGAGGCACGAAAGUGUGGGGAGCAAACAGGAUUAGAUACCCUUGUAGUC
rnacentral:rRNA from 1 species